AUAGAACUUUGGCUCAAUUUCCUUUAUUAUCUAACAGCAUGACAUGACAGCAUGACAUGACAGCAUUUUCACAACUCAGUCAUUUACAGAUAAUCAUAAGAAUCAUUCACUUACAUCACUUUUUGUAACAGCUUUAUUGGAAUACAAUUCACACAACCUACAACUGACCAUUUAACAUUAACAAUUCAAUGAUAUUUAGUGUAUUCACAAAAUUGUAAAACCAACACCACAACUGAAGAACACUCUAAUCAUCCCCAGAAAAAUCCCAAACAAAUUAGCAGUCCUUUCUUAUUUCCUCCUUUUUUCCCCAAUCCCCAUCUGUAGAGAAUAACCAAUCUAAUUUCUGUCUAUAUAAAUUUUCCUCUUCUGGAAAUUGGACAAGGUGACACAUACCUAUAAUCGUAGCAACAUGGGAGGCUGAGGCAGGAUGAUCAAAAGUUCAAAGGCAGCCUCAGCAACUUACCAAGUCCCACAGCAAAUGAGUCGCUCUCUCAAAAGGUGAGGAUGUGGUUGUAGCUCAGUAGUAGAGUGCUUGCCUAGCACAUGUGAGGCACUUGGUUUGAGUCUCAUCACCACAUGAAAAUAAAAGAAAGUUAUUGUACCCAACUAUGACUUUUUAUCUUAAAAAGCAUUAAAACAAAACAUGCUACGGAUGUGACUCAGUUUUUAGGCACCCUAGGUUUUAUUCCCCCAAAAUUAAAUAAAUAAAUUUGCAUAUUUUAAACUUUACACAAAAAAAUGGUAUUAUACAACAGGUGGUAUCUUUCUAAAUGGCUUGAAUUCCCAAAAGGUCUCCAAGUUUCAUCCAUGAUUUCUUUUUAUUGAUGUUUAGUGGGAUUCCAUAUGGAUAUACAUUUAUUUUUCAAUUUGUCAGUCCAAUGGGAUUUCUAUUAUUUACCCUUUUGAAAAUUAAACAUAAUUCUUGAACAUGCAUACACAAGUUUUUGUGGGGACAUAAGUUUUCAUUUUGGGGGGAUAUGUACCAAGAAGUGGAAUUCUGGGCCACAUGAUGCUCUGUAUUUAAUUUCGUGGAACUGUUUCCAAAGUGACUGCAUCAUUUUACAUUCCAACCAGCAUCUUAUGAGGGUUUCACUUUCUUCACAUACUUAACCAACAUGUUUUUUGGAAAACAUCCUAGCAGGUAUAAAGUGCUAUCUCAACAUGACUGACUCAUAGACACAUUUCCCUGAAGCUAAUGAUAUGGAGCUCCUUUUCAUGUGCUUAUCAGCCAUUUGGAUAUCUUCUCUGGACAAACUGUAUUUAGAUUCCUUGCCCAUCUUCUAAUUGGGUUUUCUUUUCUAUUGAGUUGAGAGGUGAGUGAGUGUGUUUUAUAGGUAGAAGUUCUUUAUCACAUAUGAUUUGCAAAACUUUUUUCUUAUAUUUUGGGUUGACGUUUCACUUUCUUGAUGGUAUUCUUUGAAGUAUAAAAGUUCAAAUUUUGGUGAUGCCACAUUAUCUAUUUUGCCUUGGGUUGUUUGUGCAUCCAUGUCACAUCUAGUAAAUUGUUGCCCAAACCAAGGUUUUUGAAGACUUAUGUCUCUGUUUUCUUCCGAUAAUUUUAAAGUCUUACAUUUAGGUCUGUAAUUCAUUUUAAUUGUAGACAGUGUGACAUACAGGUCUAAAUUCAUUCCUUUGUGUAUGGACAUCCAGGUUAUGCCAGGACAAUCCACUGAAAAGACUUUUCAUCCUUGACAACAAUAAGUUGACCACAGAAAUACGGCUUUCAGAAAACUCCAUUUUAUGCCACUAUCUAAAAUUAUGUCAGUACCACACUGUCUUGAAUGCAGUAAAUCUAUAGUAGGUUUUCAAAUCAGGGAGGGUGAAUCUUGCAACUUUGUUGUGUUUCAAGACUGUUUUGGCUAUUGUGGAAGCCUUUUUCCCCUACAUUUUUAUUAGGGCUUUAGAAUUGUACAUAAUGGUGGUAUUUGAUGGUACAUACUCGUACAUGCACACAACAAUAUACUUUGGCCAAUAUCACUCCCCAAGCACUCCCUCCUUCCAUCCCCACCUCCCACUCCUUGGUGCCUUUCCUGUACAGACCAAACUUUCAUUUCCACCUUUCUUUUCCUUUUUCCUCUCUAGCUUCCGCAUAUAAGAGAAAACAUAGCUCCUUUUAUGGUUGGAGUUUGACUUACUUUGCUAAACAUAAUGUCUCUAGUUCCAUCCAUUUUCCUGCAAAUGACAUACUUUCACUUUUCUUUAUGGCUUAAUAAUUAACUCCACUGAGUACACAUACCACAUUUUCUUUACCCAUUCAACCAUUGGACAACUAGGCUAGUUCAAUAGUUUGGUUAUUGUGAGUUGUGCUGCUAUAAACAUGGGUAUGCACAUACCACUGUAGUAUGAUUUUAAUUCAGGAAAAAUACCAAGGAGGGAUAUACUUGGGUCAUACGGGAUUUCCAUGCCUAGUCUUUUCAGGGCCCGCCACUGUGAUUUCCAUAGUAGUCGCACUAAUUUACAAUCCCACCAACAGUGUAAAAGUGUUCCUUUUUCUCUACAUCCUCUUUGCAGGAGACUUUCAUUUCAUUAGAAUUAUAGCACCAUUUUGUUAAUUUAGGGAGAUAAGUAAUUAGAAUUUUGAUAGGGAUUGCAACGAGUCAUAAGAUCUCCUUGGGGAGUAUAAUUGACACUAAUUGUAAGUUUUCUAGUCCAUGCAUGUGAGAUCUGUGUACAUACAUGCAUGCACACACACAUGCCCCCAAGUGUGCACAUAUACACGUUAACAAACACACACACACACACACACAUUUGCACGUGCAUGAAAACACACUCACUGGGUAGGUAUGAGCAUCUCCUUCUUGCUACUCUCCAUUAAUACCACGCCAUGGAGAAAGGCACUGUGAUCAGGACAAACUAUGCAUUCCCAGGACAUACCGUUGGCCAUGGAAUUGCCAGGUCAAAGGAUGCUUUCCUUACCAACAUCAAUGGAGGGCCUAUUCUGUGCCUGACACUGUUCUAGGUGCUGGGGAGAAAGCAAAGAAUAUAGUGAACAACAGUCUCCCUCCACUGAGGGGGAGGUGGUAGAAUUUAAUGAUCGAUGCAGACACAGAGACCUGCAGCUGUCUUGUUGAUUCACAGUUCUGUCAGUGGGGAGGGGAAGGAAUGUCCCAUUCGUGACAUCCUAAGUACCACUCCCGGGGCAGGGGCUCCAGCUAGGAGGCUGGACUCUACACUAGGCACUCUACAAGAACAGGAAUAUGCAACUGGCGUGGCCCAUUAGACAAUAUUAGGAGAAGUGAGAUGGGAAUGGAAUCGUCCACUGAGCAGUGUCAGGGUCACAAAGGCAACACCCAUUGGAUGUACUGUCCGGGGUGGGGUGAGGGAUAGAGAUGAAAAGACUCAUUAGAAACAGCCUAAAAUUAGCACCAGGGACUGAAAUGGAGCAACUUAUAUUCCACGCACGUAUGACUAGGUCAAAGGAACCCCACUAUUAUGUAUAAUGAUAAUGCACCAAUAAAAACAAUUUUUAAAAGAAAUAGGUUGAAACAGCCCCUUCUGGGAGAAUCACAGACACUGGGGACACUGAGAAGGAACAGGCUGGAUGAAACCUCCCUGCACUGAAAUGUACCACUUUAGUGGCCCAGAUGAAGCAGUACACUUUGGGAAACACCACUGGGGAAGGGAGCCCUGUAUUUUAAAAUAAACCAUUCUGUGUCAUGUGUAUUGGGCUCCCCACCAAGCAGGAACCUCCACACAUCCAGUCAGGGUGAGGCCUCUGCAGCCUCUCAGGUCACCAUCAUUCCAUUUAUGGGCCCAGCUACUUGGCUCUACAGAUCUAGCCCUAGUGCAGCCAGGAACAAGGGUGAAGAGAUAAGUGAAUGGUCCCAGGGUGGAGCAGCAGGGCAGAAAUUAAGGAUGACACUAAAAUCUAUGUGGUUAAUGUGAUUGCCCAUUCAGGACCUUCCAGGUUAGAGAACAUGCAUGGUCUGGGUGUCAGGGGUAUUGUCCUAGUUUGGAAACAUACAGCCCCAAAGGUGGGGCUUCAAAUAGCAAAGUGGAGGUGGAUUGGGAGAGUUCAGGAUCCUGCCCUGGAACCUCAGUCGACUCACCUGUACAAAAGGCUUAAGGUAUUACCAGGUCAGUAAGAUCACUGGCUCAUUGAUAAAUGCUGAUUGGAUCCCAUUAUAUUGAUCUGAAAGCCCAAUAUCAGUUUACAGACACACCAAGAAAACCAUUCACAGUCAGAAAUAUGUUCCCCAGAAUACCCAUGGGUGCAGUUCAAAGAGGAUUGGGUUCCUCCAGAACCAGUCCUGAUUCCUCCAGGGAGACGGCAACCUGAUCCAUAAAAAGAAGUAAAUGCUCAAAUGAUGUGUUUUUAGGCAUUAGGCAGCAGAGAUGUUGAGAGCAUCUUGGUAAUUAGGGCUUAGGUGGAUUCUUAAGGGAACAAAUUUAUCACCAGGCAUCAAUUAAGCCCUGACUUUGUUGAAACAUCUCCAGAAACACUGCAGGUAUGAGACUGAGUCCUCAGGGAGUGGAGAUCCACCAGGGGAUCAGAUAUGAGCCAGUGUGUGUCUCCAAAGAAGAUGAGGCCCACUAGCAAGGCCACAUCAGCCUCAGUCCCAAAACAGCACAGCCUCCCAGCUGUGACUGCCCAUGAAUAAACAGUCCUACACCAGGGUUGCUCUCAUGGUCUAUGUGCGGGAAUAUAUCUGCUCUGUCAACUUACACCAAGCUAUGUGUAAGUACAGAGACCCUCACACCCCAUUCCCUUUAUACCUGAUUUAUGAAUUGGGAGGAGGGGACAAGCAUACUCAGAGGAGGACAGAAAGGACUGGGAGUGAGGGGUUGAUGAGGGGGCGGGGUUGUACGGUCUGUGUCAUAUAGCCCUGGCACUCUGCGGCAAACACUUUCACCAUCUCCCCUUUUAAUCUUGAGUCAUUCAUGCUCAAAAGAUCUGCAGAGGGCCAUCUGUUCAGGGUUGAGGAGGGCAGAGGAAAUCAGGGGGCUCCUGGAUCCACAUGCUCNUAAUUGGGUUUUCUUUUCUAUUGAGUUGAGAGGUGAGUGAGUGUGUUUUAUAGGUAGAAGUUCUUUAUCACAUAUGAUUUGCAAAACUUUUUUCUUAUAUUUUGGGUUGACGUUUCACUUUCUUGAUGGUAUUCUUUGAAGUAUAAAAGUUCAAAUUUUGGUGAUGCCACAUUAUCUAUUUUGCCUUGGGUUGUUUGUGCAUCCAUGUCACAUCUAGUAAAUUGUUGCCCAAACCAAGGUUUUUGAAGACUUAUGUCUCUGUUUUCUUCCGAUAAUUUUAAAGUCUUACAUUUAGGUCUGUAAUUCAUUUUAAUUGUAGACAGUGUGACAUACAGGUCUAAAUUCAUUCCUUUGUGUAUGGACAUCCAGGUUAUGCCAGGACAAUCCACUGAAAAGACUUUUCAUCCUUGACAACAAUAAGUUGACCACAGAAAUACGGCUUUCAGAAAACUCCAUUUUAUGCCACUAUCUAAAAUUAUGUCAGUACCACACUGUCUUGAAUGCAGUAAAUCUAUAGUAGGUUUUCAAAUCAGGGAGGGUGAAUCUUGCAACUUUGUUGUGUUUCAAGACUGUUUUGGCUAUUGUGGAAGCCUUUUUCCCCUACAUUUUUAUUAGGGCUUUAGAAUUGUACAUAAUGGUGGUAUUUGAUGGUACAUACUCGUACAUGCACACAACAAUAUACUUUGGCCAAUAUCACUCCCCAAGCACUCCCUCCUUCCAUCCCCACCUCCCACUCCUUGGUGCCUUUCCUGUACAGACCAAACUUUCAUUUCCACCUUUCUUUUCCUUUUUCCUCUCUAGCUUCCGCAUAUAAGAGAAAACAUAGCUCCUUUUAUGGUUGGAGUUUGACUUACUUUGCUAAACAUAAUGUCUCUAGUUCCAUCCAUUUUCCUGCAAAUGACAUACUUUCACUUUUCUUUAUGGCUUAAUAAUUAACUCCACUGAGUACACAUACCACAUUUUCUUUACCCAUUCAACCAUUGGACAACUAGGCUAGUUCAAUAGUUUGGUUAUUGUGAGUUGUGCUGCUAUAAACAUGGGUAUGCACAUACCACUGUAGUAUGAUUUUAAUUCAGGAAAAAUACCAAGGAGGGAUAUACUUGGGUCAUACGGGAUUUCCAUGCCUAGUCUUUUCAGGGCCCGCCACUGUGAUUUCCAUAGUAGUCGCACUAAUUUACAAUCCCACCAACAGUGUAAAAGUGUUCCUUUUUCUCUACAUCCUCUUUGCAGGAGACUUUCAUUUCAUUAGAAUUAUAGCACCAUUUUGUUAAUUUAGGGAGAUAAGUAAUUAGAAUUUUGAUAGGGAUUGCAACGAGUCAUAAGAUCUCCUUGGGGAGUAUAAUUGACACUAAUUGUAAGUUUUCUAGUCCAUGCAUGUGAGAUCUGUGUACAUACAUGCAUGCACACACACAUGCCCCCAAGUGUGCACAUAUACACGUUAACAAACACACACACACACACACACAUUUGCACGUGCAUGAAAACACACUCACUGGGUAGGUAUGAGCAUCUCCUUCUUGCUACUCUCCAUUAAUACCACGCCAUGGAGAAAGGCACUGUGAUCAGGACAAACUAUGCAUUCCCAGGACAUACCGUUGGCCAUGGAAUUGCCAGGUCAAAGGAUGCUUUCCUUACCAACAUCAAUGGAGGGCCUAUUCUGUGCCUGACACUGUUCUAGGUGCUGGGGAGAAAGCAAAGAAUAUAGUGAACAACAGUCUCCCUCCACUGAGGGGGAGGUGGUAGAAUUUAAUGAUCGAUGCAGACACAGAGACCUGCAGCUGUCUUGUUGAUUCACAGUUCUGUCAGUGGGGAGGGGAAGGAAUGUCCCAUUCGUGACAUCCUAAGUACCACUCCCGGGGCAGGGGCUCCAGCUAGGAGGCUGGACUCUACACUAGGCACUCUACAAGAACAGGAAUAUGCAACUGGCGUGGCCCAUUAGACAAUAUUAGGAGAAGUGAGAUGGGAAUGGAAUCGUCCACUGAGCAGUGUCAGGGUCACAAAGGCAACACCCAUUGGAUGUACUGUCCGGGGUGGGGUGAGGGAUAGAGAUGAAAAGACUCAUUAGAAACAGCCUAAAAUUAGCACCAGGGACUGAAAUGGAGCAACUUAUAUUCCACGCACGUAUGACUAGGUCAAAGGAACCCCACUAUUAUGUAUAAUGAUAAUGCACCAAUAAAAACAACUUUUAAAAGAAAUAGGUUGAAACAGCCCCUUCUGGGAGAAUCACAGACACUGGGGACACUGAGAAGGAACAGGCUGGAUGAAACCUCCCUGCACUGAAAUGUACCACUUUAGUGGCCCAGAUGAAGCAGUACACUUUGGGAAACACCACUGGGGAAGGGAGCCCUGUAUUUUAAAAUAAACCAUUCUGUGUCAUGUGUAUUGGGCUCCCCACCAAGCAGGAACCUCCACACAUCCAGUCAGGGUGAGGCCUCUGCAGCCUCUCAGGUCACCAUCAUUCCAUUUAUGGGCCCAGCUACUUGGCUCUACAGAUCUAGCCCUAGUGCAGCCAGGAACAAGGGUGAAGAGAUAAGUGAAUGGUCCCAGGGUGGAGCAGCAGGGCAGAAAUUAAGGAUGACACUAAAAUCUAUGUGGUUAAUGUGAUUGCCCAUUCAGGACCUUCCAGGUUAGAGAACAUGCAUGGUCUGGGUGUCAGGGGUAUUGUCCUAGUUUGGAAACAUACAGCCCCAAAGGUGGGGCUUCAAAUAGCAAAGUGGAGGUGGAUUGGGAGAGUUCAGGAUCCUGCCCUGGAACCUCAGUCGACUCACCUGUACAAAAGGCUUAAGGUAUUACCAGGUCAGUAAGAUCACUGGCUCAUUGAUAAAUGCUGAUUGGAUCCCAUUAUAUUGAUCUGAAAGCCCAAUAUCAGUUUACAGACACACCAAGAAAACCAUUCACAGUCAGAAAUAUGUUCCCCAGAAUACCCAUGGGUGCAGUUCAAAGAGGAUUGGGUUCCUCCAGAACCAGUCCUGAUUCCUCCAGGGAGACGGCAACCUGAUCCAUAAAAAGAAGUAAAUGCUCAAAUGAUGUGUUUUUAGGCAUUAGGCAGCAGAGAUGUUGAGAGCAUCUUGGUAAUUAGGGCUUAGGUGGAUUCUUAAGGGAACAAAUUUAUCACCAGGCAUCAAUUAAGCCCUGACUUUGUUGAAACAUCUCCAGAAACACUGCAGGUAUGAGACUGAGUCCUCAGGGAGUGGAGAUCCACCAGGGGAUCAGAUAUGAGCCAGUGUGUGUCUCCAAAGAAGAUGAGGCCCACUAGCAAGGCCACAUCAGCCUCAGUCCCAAAACAGCACAGCCUCCCAGCUGUGACUGCCCAUGAAUAAACAGUCCUACACCAGGGUUGCUCUCAUGGUCUAUGUGCGGGAAUAUAUCUGCUCUGUCAACUUACACCAAGCUAUGUGUAAGUACAGAGACCCUCACACCCCAUUCCCUUUAUACCUGAUUUAUGAAUUGGGAGGAGGGGACAAGCAUACUCAGAGGAGGACAGAAAGGACUGGGAGUGAGGGGUUGAUGAGGGGGCGGGGUUGUACGGUCUGUGUCAUAUAGCCCUGGCACUCUGCGGCAAACACUUUCACCAUCUCCCCUUUUAAUCUUGAGUCAUUCAUGCUCAAAAGAUCUGCAGAGGGCCAUCUGUUCAGGGUUGAGGAGGGCAGAGGAAAUCAGGGGGCUCCUGGAUCCACAUGCUCAAGAGUCAGAAGGGCACCAUUCAGGGUGAACAGGAUGCUGGGCAGGAGGUCCAUUGUUGAGCUGGAGGCGGGUUCCCUGAAGCAUCAGCUCUGCUAUGACCACUAGAAGACCAUUGUGGUUCGUUCACAGGGACACACUCAGCCUCUCCUUACCCAAAGAGUGAUUCUGUGGCAUAAGGGCAUCUCAAGCCUGAGGGCAAUGAGGGUUCAUUUCCAGGAUGGCACAAGACAUCUUAACCUAGAACAUAUCCCCAAUCUGGCAGGCACAGGACUCCAGGGUGCAUCAGGCCUCGGUAUAUGUGAAUCACUGCCCAGAAGCAGCCUCUGAGGGCAGAACCUGGGUCUUCAUCCCCUGGAAAAGGAUACUCAGGUGCUUGGACCAGGGCCCAGAUGUAGGGGUUCAUUCUCAUUCUUCUCUAUUUCUCUCUCGGUAGUAGGGAUUCAACUCAGGGGCACUCAACCACUAAUCCACAGCCUCAGCCCAAUUUUUGUAUUUUAUUUACAGUGAGGGCUGAACUGAGUUGCAUAGUGUCUUGAAAAUUGCUGAGGCUGGCUUUGGACUCACAAAACUCCUGUCUCUGCCUCCCAAACUGCUGGGAUUACAGGCAUGCACCACCAUGCCUGGCCCUCCUUUCUCUUUCAUUCCACCCCUGUGUCUCACUCAGGAGACUGGGAGAAACCUGGCUGUGGCCCUAUCUGGCAUGGAUCCUAGAAGGGGUGAACUUGUAGGUUUCUAAGGCCAUCUAACACAACUCUGAGUUGUUUCAAGGUCCGCGUCCAGACUGGGAGGUCCCUGGCCCAUUAUAGGUUGUCAGUUGUCUGAGUCGUUUCAGGAUGUCUGUGCAGGAUGUGAGAUCUGUUGAGCCCUGAGGGGCUUGUGUCCAGAGUGAAGGAUCUCAGGGUUUUUUAUAAAUGUGUGUGCUGGUGUGUGAGGUGUGUGAUCUGUUUUAGGUGCUGUGUCUACCAUAUACAUUCUCUGCAGUUUUUGUUCUGCAUGUCCAGAAUUAGGGUUUGAGCUCUGCAGAGUAGCGAUGUGCAAAAUGUGAUGCAACCCGACAUUCCUCAUCCUAUGCUCAUGAGAUCAUAGAUGUUAUCCAAAACAAGGGUGUCUGAUCUUUUUUGAUUCUGGAUCCUGAAUGUGACCUCUGUGACCCAAUCAUAAGUCUGUAUCCCAGGGACUGAGGUUGCUGCAAUUUUGAGGGGUUGACCAUUUCCUGGUUUGCAAACUUUGGGCUUUGUGCACCAGGCUCUGACUUCUCUGAGAUGUUGGUUACACAUACCCUCAUGCAUGAGGUCUCUGUGUUUUCAGUACCAGUCCUCUCAGAUGUGCAUGUGCCUGCAUACCAGGGUAGGGAUCCAAGCUUUUGUGGAUUUGUAUGUCCAGGGUGGGAGGUCUGGGAGCUAUUUGGGUUUUUAAGUCGUGAGUUAUGAAGUUGUUGGCAUGCAGUUGAGUCUAUAUUUCAGAACUGGACAUCUCAGGGCUCUUCUGAGUCCCUGGCCUCAUUCACUGAGCUGAGCAAUCUAGGUUCAGUCAAGUGUGAGGUAUUGUGUGUCCAAAGAUUUGAGGUCUGUGAGUUGUGCUUUCCUGGAUUGCGUUCUGGGUUCUGCGUGGCACUGGGAUACUUGGGGUUUGGUGACUUAUAGGGUGAGGUCCCUGAAGUAGCUGGAAGUUCAUGUCCAAGGUGUGAUGGUUCUGAGCUGAGGGAAGAUCUGUGUCACAGAGACAAGCAUGGUCUGCCUUUUGUUCUGUAUUCCAGGGUCUCAAACACCUGAGCUAUGAGCAGGUUCCACUCUGGGAAGAGAGACAUUGUCACAUUCCCAAGUUCAGACAGGAGGUUUUUGACCUCCUCCUGAUGUUUCAUUUUCACAACUGUCCAGAAACAGUGAGAGGUUAUCCUGAGACUUCGUUCACUUCAGCUCCCCAAAGCCCACAUUCCUUAUCAAAAUGUUCAGUUUAGUCAGCUUCCUUCAGACCCUGCCCUGGAUUGAGAAUCCUGCUGCUCUUUAGAAAGACAAGGCACCUCCUUCAGCCACAGCUGAGGAAAUCUCAGUGACAAGGGAAAACGGGCCCCCCACCCAAAUACGAACGGGACAUACCCAUCUUGUCCUGGGAUAUUAUGGUCUGCUUCCUUCUAGGCCUCACGACACCCAGAAAGUAACCAAGGCAGAGGCACCGCUGCAGCUCAUCACCCACACAAUUAAGGGCCUGGAUCCCAGGACACUGCUGGGUAAGAGAAGACACUAGCUCUUGGGAGCACCUUUGAACCUCUACGGGACUUUUACCUGAGAAGCACUGACGGCACUGUAUCCAGACCCCUUUGGACCCUUCCUCCCAUUGGACACAUCUGAAAUCAGAAGUUGGGGCUGGGGAAAAGAAAGGGACGCCGUGAAAGGCCAUCUCUGGCCAGGGAAAGAGGAUGGGCCCUACUGUCCAGCAGGAAAUGCAGGAUGAAAGUGCGCAGAUCAUUUACCAGAAAUGUGGGUUGGGCCGAUGAUAGUGAACUAUCCCAUAAGAUCACCUCCAUCUCUAAGAUACCCAUGGUUUCAUCGUAUUAACUUCUGACUAACCACACGUUAUACACUGCUACAUGAGAGAGAGGUUCAGAGACAGAACUCUUGGUUCCUUCUCUGGUAACUUGGAACAUGGUGACAUGACAGGUUCCUGAUAACGACCCAAGCCAUUUCCACGUUGUGCACAAUGGGAUAACAAGGCAAGUGGAGAAUGGGAUGUUCUCUUCAAAUGCCAGGAUUAGUGUUUCAAGCCAAUUGUACCAGAGCAGGAAGCUUUAGCCAUUUUCCAAAACACCCUCUGUUGGAGGACAAGCAACCCCUUGCUUCUACCGCAUGUGUUCCCAAACCUGCAGAGUAUCGAGGACAGUGCCUCCAGGAUCACAGACAAGAGCACCUUGUCUAUCACAUGCUGGGGAAACUUCCUUCUUAAUGACAAGUGAGCUUUGGGGGACUCACCUUGCACCUUGGCCUCAGAGCACUAUUCACUGUGGAGCCCAGCUGCCAGUCUCUGGAGGGGUGAAGUCUGGGGAAGCCUUCUCACCUGCAGGGUCAGGGAAAAGGGAGUCACACCCCAUAACGUUUCUAACUUCUCUUAUUCUCCAAUUCCAUAAGGCCAAUGGGAACUUCAUGGAUGUGUGUUGAGCCUCCCUCUGUAACAGGCAUGGGAAUGGGCUCACUAUUAUUUAACAGUGAGAUCCUUUGGGGGCAAGUCAUCGGAGCACUGGGGGAGGUAGAAAUCUUCUGCUUACUCUUGAAACACAAAAAAAAGGUUGAAAAAUGAGAAAAAGGGAUGAGGGAAACAAGUUCACACACACAGUUCAAAGCAUCUCAUAGUCACCCAACCACAUUAAUCACACUGCUCUCCUGAGUGUUUCCUAACGUGAUGCGGUUUGUUUUCAACUUACCACUUCAAGGAAUGACUUGAGGCUCCAAACUAGGGCCAAAAUGCUGACUAAAUUAAAAUUUCUGGAAAGUCAGUGCGUGGGGUUUGAAACGAAACCGGGCAGCCUUGAGACUCAGAUGACAGAACUAUUUGGCAAUAAUUGUGCCUCAGACUGAUGCAGCUGCUGCCACACAGCGACCUGGCCUGAGCACACUGAGGCCACUACCAGAUGGGGGAAACUAGGACCCAACAGGGGUCUCAGUCCAGUGGGAAAGGACACACGACCCUUCCAGCGACAAACCCUGCGGAUGGUCUUCUCUGAGCCAGGGCAGCUUGCAGAGCUAGGGUUCAUCUGGUUACAGAAUUGACAGAAAUCCCUGCCCAGGGACCUGGGGAUGUGACUCAGAGGUAGAGUUCCUGCUUCACAUUUGUCUCCAAUGAUAGGGACGUCUACAUCAGCCGCAGCAAAGAGAAUGGGACCGUGGCCCUGGAUGGGUACCUCCAGGAGGGCAAUAACAUACUCUUCGUAAGUGUUGAAGGCCUAAAGAACCUACUCUAGACCUCUUUCAUAAUGCAGCCUAUGCUCUGUCACUGUAAGUGCAGCACAGGUUAUAGUGCAGAAUGGACUGAAGAGAUGUCGAGAUGAAUGGGAGCCGUGGUAUUCCCAUAGCUAUGGUGCUGCUGUCAGUGUCUGCCUUCACCAUGGUCAUGGCCUAGGCUGUCACGAGACACUGGUAACACCUUUGGAAGGCUUGCUGUCUUCUAGUGCUCCCAGUGAACUUCACAUUUCUCUUACCCUCCUUCCCUGCUGUUGUCCCAUAAUCCUUCUCUCUCUCUGCACAACUAACACAUGACUUAAAAGGCCUGAUUCCCACCCAGAAGCUUGCUGUUCAAAAUCUCCAAGUCAUCAUAUUCUAAUCAAAGUGUAAAGGUAUAACUGGGAGGAAAGCUGAAGGAACCAAAUGAAGAGUUUUGUGUUUCACUAAGACUGUCAACAGAAACUCACCUACUACCCAAGCCUGAAAACACCCAUCACCGUGGGUGACAGCAUUUUUCUUAGCUGGCACGCCAUGAAGGCCAGCUGCAGGACAUGAGACAAAGAUAUACAUGGUACACACACAAAUGCAUAUGUGACAGCAUAAUACCGAUGCCUUAGGGAAACUGAAGAGGUGAGAAAGCUACUACCUGGUUUCUAAGAUUAUGAUUUAAAAGAUGAUUUUAGCUGAAGAAUUUAAAGAGCUAUUUGCAAAGAACAUAUUGUGCGAUAGUGGAAAUGCCCACUCAGUGUCAUCUAAAAAAUUAACAACUGAAGGAACUAACUGAAAAUCACAGAAGAAUGGUAUUUCUUUUCACAAUAGCUAAGGUGAAGGAGAGGUAAAAUUUGCUACAAGGUAGCAAAAUCUGCUCCCAUCAGUAAGUACUAAAAACCUUGUGAUAUUAAGGUAAGACUCAUCAAUCUCUAGCUACCCUAGUGGCUUCUUUGGUACCUUUCAGUGCUGUUAAAGGUCAGCUGGGUUGACUCUGACCAGGGUUAUGACAAAGGGACCAAACCGACCCUUCAAAACCACUCUGGAAGGACAAAAGAUAGUGCCUCCAAGGUGGCACCUGAACUCUCUCAGGUUACCUACCGGUCCUUUAGGUUUCUAUUAACAGGCAAACCCUGAGAAAAGGAACUGCCUUCUGGGCCGGAUGAGCAUGAAAUCAGCUCUGUUUCUGAUUUACGAAAGACGAGAAGGCCUGGAUUGUUUUUUUUUUUUGUUUGUUUGUUUGUUUGUUUGUUUGUUUUUGGAAAGUCUCUAAACACAGAGCAUGGCCUUUAAUAAGUUAACAAAUGAUUUUUCAGAGACAGGGUAGGGAGGGGAAGAAAUGCUACUGAAUCAGAAAUAUUGAAAUGGACAAGUGAGCUGCAGGUGCGAGUAUCAAACAGAGUAACCAGAGUCCCCAUGGAGAAGGAGACAUUUUGACACAGAUGAGAAGAGGAAGAAGAUUCAGUCAAGCAGACACCUGGGGUCAGGGUUUUCCACGGGUCAGGCUUUUCCACACAGAGAGAACAGCUGGGAAGAGUGUCUGAGGCAGAGCUUGCCGAAACAGUGCAGACACACUGCAAGGACACCAGAGCAGCCUGGAGUGGGGAAGAGCUGAGCAGAAAGCUGAAAGUGUGAGGGUCAGAGGGCCAGGCUGCUGUGGGAUGAAGAAGCUUCGGCUCUAUCAGCCGGACAGUAAGGACAACAGAGGGUCACAGAUACCCAGGCAAGGCAAGGUGUGGGGAAAGGAGAGAGGUGGGGCAAGAGAAAUCAGCAAACAGGAGGGUUUGGGCAAAAAGCUAGGACCACAACCAGGUAAGGCUGAGAGAGCCCAUGGGGACCUCACUGGCAUCUUCAUACUGUCCACAGCCUUGUCUCAAGGGACAUCUGUGCUCUAGCCACAGUACCACAUACUCAAAUACCAGGCCCAAAUUCACUCGGUAGUCCUCCUGCUGAACAGGGGUCUACUAUGUGCACCGGACACUUGAGAAACUCUGGUGACGGACCAGAGCAAUACUACUGGGAGGCUAGACUGGAGCCUGAUGGACCAAGAGACUGCUCGACAUAUACUCACAAUAUUUGGAACCUCUUUCCUCAGAUUUCCAGAAUUGGACAUGGGAUGAAACCACGAUCUUCCUUUCCACCCUGGUGGAAGACAAUCCAAGCACAGGGGAACCCUUUGUUCAUUGUCGUUUCUGCUGCAGAAAUAACUGUAACUAUAACAGCUAUCCGUUUCUGUCCAAGUAACUUUGCUCAAAGUUCUUCAAUCACUAAAUAAGCAAGUUCUAAGCACUUGCUGGGCAAGGAGAUGGGAAGGAGCAUGCAGGGAUGACAUAGGCAGUACCGUUGCAGGCUGAGGACCCCCCCCCCCCCCCCACUCUGGUGUGGUGGGAGAAGAACGAUGCCAGAGUUUAAGCCACAGCACCCCACGAACAUACAGAAGGGCAACUCACACUCACCUACAGGGUGUCUGGGAGGGUUUGCUCGGGCCACACUCACCAGGGAGGGGUCGGCGUAGCAGAUAGGUACUCUGAUUAUCCACAUCAUAGAAUGGGGAGAGCUGAAGAACAGAGCUAGACUUCCAUCCUCAGUCCGGUGGGCCCCACAUCACUAUGCUUUGGUGUCUGGUUGACUCCAGGGCUGUGUUGAAGCCAUUACAAACAUUUCUUCUGGCACUGUUUGCCUCUGAAUUCCUAUUAUCUGUCAGGGAAUGAGAUUAAACACAGUGAGACAUAAUUUGAGGGUGGAACUGAAGAUUUCCUGCUGGAAGAGAAAGCCCUGUGCCACUGUAAGCUGAAGCCAACCUUUCCCACCAAAGAGACUCCAGGGCUGUCGGGUCACAGCGGCUCCUGGGAGGGCAGACACCGAGUGUCCUAGAACCCUCAGGGUGGCUUCACCUGAUGGGGGCCCCUGUUUCUCAGAUGCACGUGGUGUUGGAACAACAAGGACCAUCCAAUCACAGCACGGUAUCUGCAUCUCGGCAGGCAGCUCUGAAACCCAGACGGUUUUGCUGUACCUGGAAAGAGGCCUGGCUAUAAAAUUGGACAGAACUGGGAUGUGAAUCCCAGACCCAGGCUCUUCUGCAUCAGCAACCCAACUUCUUACUGUUUGUCUCCCUUUGCUAUGCAGAACCAAAUGCUAGGGCCCCUGGGAUUCUAGCUUACACUCCAGGCAGGAUGAGGUUGGGAAUGGUGGUGGUGGGACUGGUGCCAUUUCCACCUUUUCUUAUUUAUUGUUCCCCUGUCCACAGCACACACUUCAUUUCACGCUUAGGUGUGCUAAGUUAAGAGGAAUCACACUGGGCUUCGGUGAACAAAAUUCAUGCUCGCGGUGUACUAUGUUGCAGAUAGAACCAGCUGUGGACCUGACUUCUCUAGUGGAUGGUGUAAAACAGACACAGAAUCUCAUGUGGGAAGCGGAUGGCAUCCUUAGUAAAAGAUAAAUGACGAGUUGCAUGCAAGCACUGCAGAGUCCCUUGGAGGGUCCCCGAGUCAAAGACUGAUGACCUUGGCCUCCUGCUGACCCACACCCUGGCAAAGGGAGGACAGCUCGGCUAGUUUACUUUCUUUUUGUUCUUUUUAGUUAUACAAGACAGCAGACUCCAUUUUGAGAUGUUUAAACAAGCAUGGUAUAUAUCUUAUUCUAAUUAAAAUCCCAGUCUUGUGGAUGGACACCAUGUUGAGAUUCACUGUGGUGUAUUCACAUAUAUACACAUAGGAAAGUUAUGUCAGACUCAUUCCUCUGUCUCAGUUAGAAUGCUUUGUCACUACAGAAAGCUCAGACUGUAUCUAAGACGGAACCUGCCGUGGACCAUCAUUACACCAAAACAGUCGUUAUCAAGGGCAGAUCAAAUCUUGUUUACUUAAUUUCCUUGGUCAAGGAGGCUAUAAAGUGACAGAUUCUUUCCUUGUUUCUGCUACUUAACUCUCCACUGCAAGGGAGACCUCCAGCCUGCAUCUCAUCAUG
rnacentral:lncRNA from 1 species